GAGUGAACGUUGUCGGCGUGGAUUAGGCAUGCAAGUCGUGCGGGUCGCAAGGCCAGCGGCGGAAGGGACAGUAAUGCAUGGAAAUCUGCCCCAGGGCUCGGGAUAGCUACGGGAAACUGUAGGUAAUACCGAAUAAUGUCUCCGGACCAAAGGUGUGAUUCCGCCCCGGGAUGAGUCCAUGUCCUAUUAGCUUGUUGGUGGGGUAAUGGCCUACCAAGGCUUCGAUGGGUAGCAGGUGUGAGAGCACGACCUGCGUCACUGGGACUGAGAACUGCCCAGACACCUACGGGUGGCUGCAGUCGAGGAUUUUCGGCAAUGGGCGCAAGCCUGACCGAGCGACGCCGAGUGCGGGAUGAAGGUCUUUGGAUUGUAAACCGCUUUUGUUGGGGAUGAAAUGCCGGUGGGUACUCCCAUCGGUUUGACAUAACCGAAGAAUAAGCACAGGCUAAGCUCGUGCCAGCAGCGCGGUAAUACGAGCUGUGCGAACG
rnacentral:rRNA from 1 species